GAUGAACGCUGGCGGCGUGCCUAAUACAUGCAAGUCGAACGAACAGACGAGGAGCUUUCUCCUCUGACGUUAGCGGCGGACGGAUGAGUAACACAUGCAUAACCUACCUAUAAGUCUGGGAUGACUUCGGGAGACCGGAUCUACUACCGGCUAAUAUGUUCAACCGCAUGGUUCAAUAGUGAAAGACGGUUUUGCUGUCACUUAUAGAUGGUUCCGCGGCGCAUUAGCUAGUUGGUAAUGUAACGGCUUACCAAGGCAACGAUGCGUAACCGACCUGAGAGGGUGAUCUGCCAUACUUGAACGUGAAAACGGUCCAGACGCCUAAGGGAGGCAGGAGGGGGGGAUGUUCGGUAAUGGGCGAAACGUUGACGGUGCAACGCCGGGUUAGUUAUGAAGGUCUUGCGAUCGUAAAGCUCUGUUAUGAGGGAAUAACAAUUGUGUAAUUAAUUAUGCACGUCUUGACGGUAACGCAUCAGAGAGCCACGGCUAACUACGUU
rnacentral:rRNA from 1 species